AGCAACGCNGUGGCUCAGANUNUACGCUGGCGGCAGGCCUAACACAUGCAAGUCGAGCGGAAACGAGUUAUCUGANCCUUCGGGGAACGAUAACGGCAUCGANCGGCGGACGGGUGANUAAUGCCUAGGAAAUUGCCUUGAUGUGGGGGAUAACCAUUGGAAACNAUGGCUAAUACCGCAUANUGCCUACGGGCCAAAGAGGGGGACCUUCGGGCCUCUCGCGUCAGGAUAUGCCUANGUGGGAUUAGCUAGUUGGUGAGGUAAUGGCUCACCAAGGCGACGAUCCCUAGCUGGUCUGANAGGAUGAUCAGCCACACUGGAACUGANACACGGNCCAGACUCCUACGGGAGGCAGCAGUGGGGAAUAUUGCACAAUGGGCGCAAGCCUGAUGCAGCCAUGCCGCGUGUGUGAAGAAGGCCUUCGGGUUGUAAAGCACUUUCAGUCGUGAGGAAGGUAGUGUAGUUAAUAGCUGCAUUAUUUGACGUUAGCGACAGAAGAAGCACCGGCUAACUCCGUGCCAGCAGCCGCGGUAAUACGGAGGGUGCGAGCGUUAAUCGGAAUUACUGGGCGUAAAGCGCAUGCAGGUGGUUUGUUAAGUCAGAUGUGAAAGCCCGGGGCUCAACCUCGGAAUUGCAUUUGAAACUGGCAGACUAGAGUACUGUAGAGGGGGGUAGAAUUUCANGNGUAGCGGUGAAAUGCGUAGAGAUCUGAANGAAUACCGGUGGCGAAGGCGGNCCCCUGGACAGAUACUGACACUCAGAUGCGAAAGCGUGGGGAGCANACANGAUAAGAUACCCUGGUAGUCCACGCCGUAAACGAUGUCUACUUGGAGGUUGUGGCCUUGAGCCGUGNCUUUCGGAGCUAACNCGUUA
rnacentral:rRNA from 1 species